AGCUGAAUUGAGGCGUGGUUUGAAUUUUGCGGACGAAAUUCUUUUAAGGCGUAGAGAAUGUAACAUACCAGAUUUUGGUAUAAAAAUAAAAAAAUAAAUAAAAAUAGUGUGAGAAACUAUUUUUAUUGAAUUUAUAGAAGUAAAACAUAAGUCAGAAGUGACUUCUGCUGAAAUCGGAAUGAAAACAGAAGAUCUAGAAUUUUCUGUUGGAAACGGGACAGAUAAAUUAGCAGAAAAUGCACAGUCUCAGAAAAUUAUGAAAAUUGGAGGAUAAGUCAGAAAUACUUUUAUGAGGUAAGAUUUCAAGUGUCAUAUUUUUCUGACACCCAUAGAGUGAGAAAUAAAAUUCGACAGCUAUCUGAUAAAGAUUACAGUUCGGUACAAUUUUCGGUGACCAAACGGGGUCGAAACUGGAAACUUAAGACAUAUUCUUACUCAGUACGUUAAACUGAGCAUGUCUGUCAAAUUUGAGCUCAAUCGGACAUUUAGAAGGGCUCCAACGAAACGUAUCAGAUUUCAAGCUGCCCGAGGUGAAUAGUGCAAUGUUGAGGGGCUGAUUUGUAAAAUGGGAUUUAAUCCCUUUUUCUCUUCUUUUCUUCAGCCAUGCACACCACAACCACACACACACGCACACCAUACACGCAUGGAAGGGAAAGGAGAAAGCUCUCCUUUCUCUCUCUAAAUAUCUUCCAAAAAAGAGAUGAUUUUGGUGGAGAUCGAAGCUCUAAGGUGGAUUUCCAUCUUCUCCAUCUUCUUCCUCUCCAUUGAAGCAAGGUUUGAAGGUAA
rnacentral:lncRNA from 1 species